rnacentral:rRNA from 1 species
CGAAAGCCUGACGGAGCAAGACCGCGUGAGGGAGGAAGGCUCUUGGGUUGUAAACCUCUUUUCUCAGGGAAGAAGCUCUGACGGUACAAAAGGAAUCAGCCUCGGCUAACUCCGUGCCAGCAGCCGCGGUAAUACGGAGGAGGCAAGCGUUAUCCGGAAUGAUUGGGCGUAAAGCGUCCGCAGGUGGCAAUGUAAGUCUGCUGUCAAAACCCAGGGCUCAACUCUGGUCAGGCAGUGGAAACUACAUAGCUAGAGUUCGGUAGGGGCAAAGGGAAUUCCCGGUGUAGCGGUGAAAUGCGUAGAGAUCGGGAAGAACAUCGGUGGCGAAAGCGCUUUGCUAGACCGAAACGGACACUCAGGGACGAAAGCUAGGGUAGCG